GGACGGGUGAGUAAUGUCUGGGAAACUGCCCGAUGGAGGGGGAUAACUACUGGAAACGGUAGCUAAUACCGCAUAACGUCGCAAGACCAAAGAGGGGGACCUUAGGGCCUCUUGCCAUCGGAUGUGCCCAGAUGGGAUUAGCUAGUAGGUGGGGUAACGGCUCACCUAGGCGACGAUCCCUAGCUGGUCUGAGAGGAUGACCAGCCACACUGGAACUGAGACACGGUCCAG
rnacentral:rRNA from 1 species